rnacentral:rRNA from 1 species
UGGGGAAUAUUGCACAAUGGGCGAAAGCCUGAUGCAGCGACGCCGCGUGAGGGAUGACGGCCUUCGGGUUGUAAACCUCUUUCAGUAGGGACGAAGCGCAAGUGACGGUACCUGCAGAAGAAGCACCGGCUAACUACGUGCCAGCAGCCGCGGUAAUACGUAGGGUGCGAGCGUUGUCCGGAAUUACUGGUCGUAAAGAGCUCGUAGGCGGUUUGUCACGUCGUCUGUGAAAUCCUAGGGCUUAACCCUGGACGUGCAGGCGAUACGGGCUGAUUUGAGGACUAAAGGGGAGACUGGAAUUUCUGGGGUAGCGGUGGAAUGCACAGAUACCAGGAAGAACACCGAUGGCGAAGGCAGGUCUCUGGGUAGUAACUGACGCUGAGGAGCGAAAGCAUGGGUAGCGAACAGG